AUAUCUUUCUCGGUCUUUAGCUAAAAUUAAGUAUAGUAUCUAUUCUUAUCAGUUUAAUAUCUAAUAUAUAAGUCAUGUAUUCACUUUAAUAUUAGAUUUAUUUUUUGUGGAAAGAGUCUAUUACAGUAGCUGCUAGGGCCCUUGAGUGCUUUUGCUCUAUUGGCUAAGCUUGGUGCACCCCAA
rnacentral:snRNA from 1 species